rnacentral:rRNA from 1 species
UCUUCCCUCUGGCGGCGUGCCUAAUACAUGCAAGUCGAGCGAACGGACCAGAAGCUUGCUUCUCUGAUGUUAGCGGCGGACGGGUGAGUAACACGUGUAUAACCUACCUAUAAGACUGGGAUAACUUCGGGAAACCGGAGCUAAUACCGUAUAAUAUUUUGAACCGCAUUGUUCAAAAGUGAAAGACGGUCUUGCUGUCACGUAUGGAUGGUUCCGGGCUGCAUUAGCUAGUUGUUAAGGUAACGGCUUAUCAAGGCAACGAGGCAUAGCCGACCUGAGAGGGUGAUAGCCGACACUGGAACGGAACCAGGGUCAUGACGACUACGAGAGGCAGCAGUAGGGAAUGUGCCGCAAUGGGCGAAAGUAUGGCGGAGUGACGCGGAGUGAGUGAUAGAGGUCUUGGGAUCGUAAAAAUGUGUUAUUAGGGAAGAACAUAUGUGUAAGUAACUGUGCAGAUAGUGACGGUAAUUAGUCAGAAAGCCACGGCUAACUACGUG